rnacentral:lncRNA from 1 species
GUUUGAGUCGAUUUGGUUGUUGAGUCAAGCGAUUGGAUCAAUUGAUCAAUGUAAGACCUAAUUAUAAUGGUCCAACUUUGGGUGUGAUCAAUUGGUUUAAUGGUCUAAUGUUAGUAAGGUUUAAUUUGGUAUGUAAUCAAUUAAUUGACUUAGUCAAUUAAUUGAAGGUCCAAGUUUGGUUAGUUGUUAAUUGUUGACUUGGUCAAUUCAUAAUGUAAGGCUUAUAUAAGGGCCACCCCGCUCAUGAAUUAGAAGAAUUGAAUGAUUGAAUAAAAAAAUUCUAGCCUUCUUUCUGCUUCUUCUUCCUCCUCCUCCUCUUCUCUUCUUUCUGCGUCUCUAUAACUUCUUCUUCCUCCUUCUCUUCUUCUUCCUCUCUCUCUUCUCCCUGCAGUGGUCCGCCAUCACAUACUGAGCCAAUUUUUGUGCUUCCUCAUGUUAUGGGGUACAUUGGAUACUUGGAAGCCUUCAAGCGGUGGAUCGAAAUGCACCUCAGUAGUCAUCCUAUAUUUUGAUUUCAAGAGAAAUGUGUGUGGAACUCCAUCAUCAAUUAUUGGAAAUCCAACAGUAGAGAUUGUAUGAGCACCAUUCAAGAGAUUGCAUGGACGCAAUCUUGUGCAGAAGAAGUGAAUGAUGAAGGACAAAAAAAUAUCUUAUUAUAUUUGCGGAUUUUUUCUUAUGCAUUUUUUAUAGUUAGCUUUACAAUCCUGAUUUCUGCAAGAUUGGUGUGUAAGAGUCCUCGUUCAAUUAUAUAUUGGGUCAAAUAAGUUGCAAAGUUGUUAUGAUUUAAUUUCUUAACUAUUAUUUGGAAAGUUUGGAUAUAGAGAAUUUUAGAUCAAUUACAUCUUUUAUGGAAUCAAUUUACAAAAAAAGGAGUUCUAGGAUCAUCAUAGAUAAGUCAAAGAAUCCUUUGUCGGAUAGCAAGCAAAGUUUUUCGAUGUCUCAAAGUUUAUAAAUAUGGGCCUCUAUAAAGUGACGAAUUUAUGAAGAUUAUUGAGUUAUUUUUGUAUGGAAUUUUGUUGGCUAAGUUUGGCCCUCUCUCCCUACACUCACUCUUCUUCUUCAUCAUCAUCUAUUAUUCUCUUAAACCAUCAUCUCUUUUCCUUAUCUUCUGCUACUUAUUCCUCUCUCAUCUAGCUUAAUCUUCUUCUUCUUCUUCUAUUGUUUAUCUCUCUACUUCUGUAUGGUGAUAGAUCAAAUCACUGUCUAUAGAGAUUUGUGUGCAUUAUUUGAUCAAAUCUAGUUGUCGGUUUAUAUCAGAUUAUUCAAUUUCAGAUCACUGUCUACAGAGAUCUGUGUGCAUUAUUUGAUCAACUCUAGUUGUAGGUUUAUACUGACUAUUCAAUUAAGACCUAAGAAAUCCUGGGUUCAGAUAAUUCUUCCAUGUGUAAGGCAUCCUAAUUGAAGAUUCUUCUUGAACAUUCAUCGCCUCUAAUUUCAAAUUCUGUUGUUGGCUGUCUUGUUUUAGGACAAUUGGUAGGACACAAUAGAGGGUCAGACGGGGGGGUGGGGGGGGGGGGGGAGUGUGGAGGCCACUUCCAACACUAUGACCUUAAGGAAAAGGAUUUCGAAACCAAGCUAUCUCCUCUCUCGAAAUGGGAAAGAGACCAGAAGCCUCCACAUGUCCCUACAAAUAAAAGAUGUGAUAGUCAAAAUACUAGAAAGAGGAUUUUGAUAAUAUAUCAGACUCUAACAAGCCAGAUUCUCUUUAACUCACAAAUUCCAACAAAAGUUGGAUCUCAACCAAUUCUCGCUUUUUAUGCUUAAGAAUAUGUACUUUCAAAACUAGGGGGAAAUCAAUGAGAUGGUGAAAUUAUAGUUGUCAUGCAAACUCUUUAAUUCUCUAAGAAAAAAAUUCGGUAUAUAAACUGACUCUAUUUUCCUCUCUUAUGAAAUCAACUCUACAGAGUAGAAAAUAUUUUUUAAUAAAAUAAAUAGAUUAUAUCCAUGUUUGCUAUCACAUCACCAUGUGUCAAGAUCUAGCCACUCCUUCUAUACGCAUGAGAAUAUUUUGUUAUCUCAGAGAUCUGUCAAGCACACCAAACCAUUAGUUCCACAUAGUUAGGUAUAGUGCCCUUGUAUAAAGAUCUUCCACACCUUGCAUCCCCUCAGUUCAUCUUGCCUCCUAUAUACUAUUUCCCUUGCAUAGAAUGCUAGGUGCUCACUUACUGUCACAAGUAUUGGUUACCAUAAAAAGCAAAGAUUCCUUCAAGUUAUUCACAUUAUAUUACGACGAACACUAAGACCAGCAAUAUUAUUGAGAUCUUUUGGCAUGGAAACAUAUUAAUCUGCCAGGUGUCAUUGUUAACUCAGCAUGUAGUCAUGAAAACUAAAAUAGCAUUCAAUAUAGAAGCUAACUGAAGAUGAAUAUUACAAUAUGUUUUUGAAAAAACAGACUUUACUCCAUAGAUAUUUGUAAUUAGAGGGAAGAAAUUUCACAACAUCAAAAUA